ACUACCUAACUAGAGGUUAUCUUGAAAUUACAAAUCUCACCCCUAUUUUAAGAAUAUAAACUUACUAAGAAAAUUAAUUUUUAUAUCUACAAGAUAGUAGAUUUUAUCGAAAUAAUAACAAAGUGUGAAAGUGAAUAGUACUGUAAAAGAAAGUAGAAAUAACAUUUUAAAUAUAUAAAAGUAAAUAUUAAAAGUUGUAUCUCGUGUAUUAUAGGAUAUCAAAAUUAUAUCUACAAAUAUCCAUCCCGAAAAAAAGAUAGCUAAUUUUAAGAAAAAGUUUUUGUAGCAACAAAAUUUUAAACUUAACAUUAGAGGUGAUAUGCCAGUCGAGCUUUUAUAUCUGGUUUUCUAAAAAAUAAAUUUAAUUUAUGCGCUUAGCUAACUAGUUAUGCGAUUAAGAAGAUAAGGGUAGAGCUUUUUCUUCAAAAAUGUAAAACUACAGAACCUAAUAAUAAACAUUUAUAAAAAUAGGCUUAAUAGUAGCCACUUUUUCUAGGUUUUUCAACCAAUAUAAACUUAUAUUCUAAAUUUUAUCGGUUCUUCGUUAUAAGUAUUAGAAAAUAAAUUUUAACUACAAAUAUAUAGUUAUUCUGAAAUCAUUAGUAAAAUUUAAUAUAUUUAUAAAAAUUUUUUUAUAAAUAAAACUUAUAAAAAAUAACAAAUUUGUUUAAGGAACUCGGCAAAAUUUAUCACCGCCUGUUUAACAAAAACAUGUCUUUGUGAAGAUUUACACAGUCUGGCCUGCCCACUGAAUUAUUAAAGGGCCGCGGUAUCUCUGACCGUGCGAAGGUAGCAUAAUCAUUAGUCUUUUAAUUGGAGGCUUGUAUGAAGGGUCGAACGAGUGAUAAACUGUCUUAACAAAAAAUAUUGAAAUUAACUUUAAAGUGAAAAGGCUUUAAUGUCUUAGAAAGACGAUAAGACCCUAUAAAUCUUUACACUACAUUUAGUAUUAAGCCAAUUUAUUUGUUUAAGGAAAAAUACUAAAAAAGCGUUUUGUUGGGGCAACAAAGAUAUAAAUUAAAUAACUGUUUUUCUUUACACACAAAAAUUCUUGAAAUAUAUUGAUCCUCUCUAGAGAUUAAAAGAUUAAGUUACUUUAGGGAUAACAGCGUUAUUUUUCUUGAGAGUCCUCAUCGAAAGAAAAGUUUGCGACCUCGAUGUUGAAUUAAAAUUUCUUCCUAGUGCAGCAGCUAUGAGAGAAAGUCUGUUCGACUUUUAAAAUUUUACAUGAUUUGAGUUCAGACCGGCGUAAGCCAGGUCGGUUUCUAUCUUCUAAGAAGUAAUAAACUAUUUUAGUACGAAAGGAUUAAAUAGUUAAAAUAAUUUUACCAACUUGAAUAACACUUUUGCCUAAGCACACUACGCAUUUCAAUUAAAUGAAAA
rnacentral:rRNA from 1 species